UGAACGCUGGCGGCAUGCCUAACACAUGCAAGUCGAACGGAAACGAUGGAAGCUUGCUUCCAGGCGUCGAGUGGCGGACGGGUGAGUAAUGCUUAGGAAUCUGCCCAAUAGUGGGGGACAACUCGGGGAAACUCGAGCUAAUACCGCAUACGCCCUACGGGGGAAAGCAGGGGAUCUUCGGACCUUGCGCUAUUGGAUGAGCCUAAGUCGGAUUAGCUUGUUGGUGAGGUAAAAGCUCACCAAGGCGACGAUCCGUAGCUGGUCUGAGAGGACGAUCAGCCACACUGGGACUGAGACACGGCCCAGACUCCUACGGGAGGCAGCAGUGGGGAAUAUUGGACAAUGGGGGCAACCCUGAUCCAGCAAUGCCGCGUGUGUGAAGAAGGCCUGCGGGUUGUAAAGCACUUUCAGUAGAGAAGAAAAGCCUAGGCUUAAUACGCCUGGGUCUUGACGUUACCUACAGAAGAAGCUCCGGCUAACUCC
rnacentral:rRNA from 1 species